rnacentral:tRNA from 1 species
ACUACUGAUGGUCAGUGGUUAAUCACUCAGCUGCUAACUAAAAGGUUGGUGGUUCGACCCCACCCAGUGGCU